GAUGAAGAACGCAGCGAAAUGCGAUACGUAGUGUGAAUUGCAGAAUUCCGUGAAUCAUCGAAUCUUUGAACGCACAUUGCGCCCUCUGGUAUUCCGGGGGGCAUGCCUGUCCGAGCGUCAUUUGCAACCCUCAAGCCCGGCUUGUGUGAUGGGUGCCGUCCCCUACGGGACGCGCCCCGAAGGCAAUGGCGGCGUCGCGGUUAUCCGAUCAGCCAAAGUGUAUGGGGCUUUGUCACUCACUUUACGGCCCGGACCGGCGCCAGUCCGAAUCAAUCUUUUUUCUAAAGUUGACCUCGGAUCAGGUAGGGAUACCCGCUGAACUUAAGCAUAUCAAUAAGCGGAGGA
rnacentral:misc_RNA from 1 species